ACGGAAGGCAGCAGUGGGGAAUAUUGGGCAAUGGGCGAAAGCCUGACCUAGCAACGCCGCGUGAAGGAAGAAGGCCUUCGGGUUGUAAACUUCUUUUACCAGGGACGAAGGACGUGACGGUACCUGGAGAAAAAGCAACGGCUAACUACGUGCCAGCAGCCGCGGUAAUACGUAGGUUGCAAGCGUUGUCCGGAUUUACUGGGUGUAAAGGGCGUGUAGGCGGAGCUGCAAGUCAGAAGUGAAAUCUCCGGGCUUAACCCGGAAACUGCUUUUGAAACUGUUGCCCUUGAGUAUCGGAGAGGCAGGCGGAAUUCCUAGUGUAGCGGUGAAAUGCGUAGAUAUUAGGAAGAACACCGGUGGCGAAGGCGGCCUGCUGGACGACAACUGACGCUGAGGCGCGAAAGCGUGGGGAGCAAACAGGAUUAGAUACCCUGGUA
rnacentral:rRNA from 1 species